rnacentral:rRNA from 1 species
AAGCUCGUAGUUGAAUUUCGGGAUCGAAUUGUUGGUCGUGCUUCGGUACGCACUGGCAUUAUCGGUUCCUACCUUCUGAAGAACCGCGAUGUCAUUAAUUUGGUGUCGUGGGGAAUCAGGACUGUUACUUUGAAAAAAUUAGAGUGUUUAAAGCAGGCUUACGCUUGAAUACAUUAGCAUGGAAUAAUGAAAUGGGACGUUUGAUUCUAUUUUGUUGGUUUCUAGGAUCGACGUAAUGAUUAAUAGGGAUAGUUGGG